rnacentral:rRNA from 1 species
GCGCGCGACAUGGUCGUCCUCCCGACCCAGCGGCGCUCAAAACUUAACUUGAGUUGUGCGGGAUUACGGGCGCGGCUCUCUGCAGCGACCCUCCAUCCCCCGGUGUUGUCACCGGUAUGCGGUGUGGUCCCUCGGGGCCGUCACCGUGCCACAGCAUACCGUGAGUGUGCACGAUGUGACCCCAAAGAUGGUGAACUAUGCCUGAUCACGUUGAAAUCAUGGGAAACCCUGAUGGAGGACCAAAUCAGGUCUGACGUGCAAAUCGAUUGUCAGAAUUGGGCAUAUGGGCGAAAGACCAAUCAAACCAUCUAAUAGCUGGUUCCUUCCUAAAACCAUCUAGUAGCUGGUUCCUUCCGAA